UGGGGAAUAUUGCACAAUGGGCGCAAGCCUGAUGCAGCCAUGCCGCGUGUAUGAAGAAGGCCUUCGGGUUGUAAAGUACUUUCAGCGAGGAGGAAGGCGUUGUGGUUAAUAACCGCAACGAUUGACGUUACUCGCAGAAGAAGCACCGGCUAACUCCGUGCCAGCAGCCGCGGUAAUACGGAGGGUGCAAGCGUUAAUCGGAAUUACUGGGCGUAAAGCGCACGCAGGCGGUCUGUCAAGUCGGAUGUGAAAUCCCCGGGCUCAACCUGGGAACUGCAUCCGAAACUGGCAGGCUAGAGUCUUGUAGAGGGGGGUAGAAUUCCAGGUGUAGCGGUGAAAUGCGUAGAGAUCUGGAGGAAUACCGGUGGCGAAGGCGGCCCCCUGGACAAAGACUGACGCUCAGGUGCGAAAGCAUGGGGAGCAAACA
rnacentral:rRNA from 1 species